UACGUAGGGACCAAGCGUUGUCCGGAAUUAUUGGGCGUAAAGAGCUCGUAGGCGGUUUGUCGCGUCGAAUGUGAAAACCCGGGGCUCAACCCCGGGCCUGCAUUCGAUACGGGCAGACUAGAGUUCGGUAGGGGAGUCUGGAAUUCCUGGUGUAGCGGUGAAAUGCGCAGAUAUCAGGAGGAACACCGGUGGCGAAGGCGGGACUCUGGGCCGAUACUGACGCUGAGGAGCGAAAGCGUGGGGAGCAAACAGG
rnacentral:rRNA from 1 species